rnacentral:rRNA from 1 species
GCGGGGGGUGACAGCUACUGAAUCAUAGGUGUGUCAUCUGUGAUAAGGUAAGAGUAUAAUAAUGAUAUUAUCUUACUAUUAGUGUCGUCCAAAUACUAGUGCCAGAAGACUCGGUAAUGCUAGAGACGCAAACGUUAGUCAUCUUUAACAGGCGUAAAGGGUGUGUAGGCGGUUUUAAAAAUAAGUUUAUUUUAACUUUAAGGAAUUACAUAUUAAUAUUAAUUCAAGUUAGUUUUAAUAUUAUGUAAUUAAAAUGAACAAAUAAAUUAAAGCUAGAAUCAAGAAGAGGUUAAUACAGAUAAUGCUUAGAGUUUUAGGAUUGACAACUAUAAAUCCUGAGUGGAAUAUUAAUGGCGAAAGCACUUUUCUACUAUUGAUUGACGCUGAGAAACUAAGGGGAGGGUAGACAAAAGGAUUAGAGACCCUCGUAUUCCUCUCUGUCAACGAUGAAUGGUAGCUACUAGAUUAUAGUAAACUAGAGGCGAUGUUAACACGAAAACCAUUCCGCCUUGUGAGUACGACUGCAAAGUUGAAAACAAAAAAAUUAGUCGGUUCGAGCCAAG